UAAAGCUCUGUCCCCGGGGAAGAACCACAGUGAGAGGAAAUGAUCACUGUCUGACGGUACCCGUGGAGGAAGCACUGGCUAACUACGUGCCAGCAGCCGCGGUAACACGUAGAGUGCAAGCGUUGUCCGGAAUCAUUGGGCGUAAAGGGUACGCAGGCGGAUAUACAAGUCAAAUGUGAAAACUGCCGGCUCAACUGGCAGACUGCGUUUGAAACUGUAUAUCUUGAGUGCAGCAGAAGAGAGCGGAAUUUCUAGUGUAGUGGUGGAAUACGUAGAUAUUAGAAAGAACACCAGUGGCGAAAGCGGCUCUCUGGGCUGCAACUGACGCUCAGGUACGAAAGCUGGAGGAGCGAACGGGAUUAGAUACCCCGGUAGUUCCAGCUGUAAACGAUGGACACUAGGUGUUGGGGGUUCGAUUCCCUCAGUGCCGAAGUUAACGCGAUAAGUGUCCCGCCUGGGGAUUACGGUCGCAAGACUGAAACUCAAAGGAAUUGACGGAA
rnacentral:rRNA from 1 species